rnacentral:rRNA from 1 species
GACGAACGCUGGCGGCGUGCCUAAUACAUGCAAGUCGAACGCAGUGGGGACGGGUGAGUAACACGUGGGUAACCUCACAUAAGAGGGGAUAACACUUGGAAACAGGUGCUAAACCGAUACUGUUGGAGGGACGCGCGGGUCAUUAGCUUGUUGGUGAGGUAACGUCUCACCAAGGCCACGAUGCAUAGCGUGCCUGAGAGGGGGAUCGGCCACACUGGAACUGAGACACGGCCCAGACUCCUACGGGAGGCAGCAGUGGGGAAUCUUCGGCAAUGGACGAAAGUCUGACCGAGCAACGCCGCGUGAGUGAAGAAGGUUUUCGGAUCGUAAAACUCUGUUGUUAGAGAAGCGGUAUCUAACCAGAAAGCCACGGCUAACUACGUGCCAGCAGCCGCGGUAAUUC